CUGUGAACAGCUUAGACUUCGCGUCUUUGCAAUUGCUUGGGUGUCGAAAGGCGCCCAAUCUUUAAAACUUUUAUAUUUGUUCUGAAACAAUGAAAAUUUAAAACUUUCAACAACGGAUCUCUUGGUUCUCGUAUCGAUGAAGAACGCAGCAAAGCGCGAUAGGUAAUGCGAAUUGCAGACGUGAGUCAUUGAAUUUUUGAACGCAUAUUGCGCUAUUAGUUUGUCUAAUAGCAUGCUUGUUGGAGUGAUAAUCUUCCUCUCAACCAUUUUUGGUAUGAGGUCUUGCUCCUUUUAGGAGUUAAAAUCAUGGAAGUGCACACGUUAAUUAACUCUGUGCAGUUAUACACUUUUCAUCCUCCAAUCAAGCAAGGUUACCCGCUGAACUUAAGCAUAUCAAUAAGCGGAGGAAAAGAAACCAACAGGGAUUGCCCUAGUAACGGCGAGUGAACAGGCAAGAGCUCAGAUUUGAAAGGCACUUUUGUGCCGUUGUAUUCUGAAGUUAGGGUCCUGAGAAACGAUGCUUAAGUCUUCUGGAAAGGAGCGCCAUGGAGGGUGAUAGCCCCGUCUAGCAUUGACCUCAUAUAGGAUCUUAACAUGGAGUCGAGUUGUUUGGGAAUGCAGCUCAAAUGGGUGGUAUGCUCCAUCUAAAGCUAAAUAUCUGCGAGAGACCGAUAGUAAACAAGUACUGUGAGGGAAAGAUGAAAAGAACUUUGAAAAGAGAGUGAAAAAGUACGUGAAAUUGUUGAAAUGGAAGGGUAGGCCGCUAACCAUGUAGAGCCGUGUUUGGGGGGAAGAUAAAUGCUGUAGAAUGUAGCUCCUCGGAGUAUUAUAGAUGCAGUUCAUAUUCCCACCCGAGCGCGAGGAUCUCAGUCUACUAAAGCAAGCCU
rnacentral:rRNA from 1 species